CAAAGCAAAGCUUAUAGUAAGUAUUUCAUUUACACUGAAAAGAUUGUUCGUGCGAUUCGAAUUGUUUUGA
rnacentral:tRNA from 1 species